AAGAGGGAGGAGUCUUUUCUCUCUUCAUUGCCCUUUGAAUCAAGACUGCAGGUCGACUCUACCCUGGGUCUCCAGUCUCCUGGCCUGCCUUGCAGAUUUUGGCUUUAUCAGCCCUACAAAAGGAACUCUCUGAAGCUGAGAACAAACAACGCAAAAUAUGAGAGAUGAUGGUGCCUGCUUCUCACACAGUGCUGAGUAUGGUGACUUUUCAAAUCCAGUGUACUAGCAGCCUUACAUGGAAGGCUCUUGCCUCAGCUGUGGCAAAUAACUAAACCUAGGGAGAGUGGAUUGGAAGCAACACUUAGGCCAGGGCAGUAUAGCAUAAUAAAAGAAAUAUGAGCUCUGGAUUCAGAAGACCUACACCUGCAUAUCACUUGAGCUGAUGGCUAUCAGCUUAAUGACUUUUUGUACCGCUUUACUUUUCUGCCAUCUUUGAGACUCUUUAAACUAGGUGGCCCGAUGGUAAAGAAUCUGCCUGCCAAUUCAGGAGACAUAAGAGACGUGGAUUGGAUCCCUGGCUCAGGAAGAUCCCUGGAGUAAGAAACGGCAACCCACUCCAGUAUUCUUGCCUGGAAAAUUCCAUGGACAGAGGAGCCUGGCAGGCUGCAGUCCAUGGGGUCACAAAGAUUUGGACACAAUUGAGCACACACACACACACACACAGGCACUUAAACAUUAGAGACAGUGUAUGUAGCAGGCUAUGAUGAGAUCAUAAAAGGUAGAUAGUAGAUGCCCCUUAUUCCAUCUUCUUUCAAAUAUUUUCACUAUUCUUUUUGAUGUUUUAGAAACAUAGAAAAACAACUGUUUGUCAGAGAAAUUGAUGGGAUAUGUGAGACUUGACUUUCCUGGGUGCCACUAGUGGUAAAAAAGAAAAAAAAAGAAAAGAAAAGAAAAACUUGCCUGCCAAUGCAGACAUGCAAGAGAGGCAUCCCUGGGUUGGGAAGAUCCCCUGGAGGAGGGCAUGGAAACCCAUUCCAGUAUUCUUGCCUGGAGAAUCCGUAUGGACCAAGGAGCCUGGCAUGCUGCAGUCCAUGGCUUCACAAAAAGUCAGACACCAGACACUGACAAUGCACAACAGUCAGAAUUUUGGGGUUCCUAGAUGGUGCUAGUGAUAAAGAACCUGCCUGUCAGGUAGGAGACAUAAGAGAUGCUGGUUCAAUCCCUGCAUUCAGAAGAUCCCCUGGAGAAGGGAAUGGCUACCCACUCCAGUAUUCUUGCCUGGAGAAUCCCAUGGACAGAGGAGCCUGGAGGGCUACAAUCCAUGUGGUCUCAAACAGUUGGACAUGACUAAAGCUAUGUAGAACACAUGUACAUAAGAUCGAUUUGCCUAUUUGUGGGAACCAAUCACUUAGUAUUUUUACAAUUGAAGUAAGCUUACAGAAAGCAAAAAUAGAGUCCAUAGUCAAAAGUAUACAUUUUCUCAACAACCAAGGAGGCCUCUGUAUUUCAACACUUCAAACUGUAAAAUGUGAACUCCUAAAGGAGCAUUGCAAGACUGGUUUCUAUACAAGAAUAAGUCAUUUCUGAAAAUUCCAGUGAUGUUCAACAGUUUACCAAUGUGAAGAAGACAAUUGCAAAACAUUGCUGUCUUAGAUUAUUGUUAAGUUCCAAAAGAGUUUUGGGCACUUGCUUCCUGUGGUAGAUGCCCAAGAGAGCCUGACUGAACUGAAGUUCAACUAUUACUAGCUUUCUGACAGUUUCAUAGCUGUUACCACUCAUCAGGGGCCUGUAGGCUGUUUCUAAUUUUGCUCCACUUGUUUUCUUAAAUCAUCUCCUGGGAUUGCAUGUUAUCUGUUAUCCAAAAUGACAGUGCUUCUCAUCACUGACAAAUUUUUUAUUCCUUCAGAUUAUUUGAGAAUAAGAUAAUCUUUUCCCCCAUAUAAGUGAGCCUGAGAAAUAAUUACGUUUUUAUGAUGGCAUUGAGCUGAACUGUCCAUUCAUUCCUAGAUUGUCUCAAGUUUCAUUCCUGUAGGGAGAUUAAUUUCCUUAGCUUCUGGCAGCCGAACUAGAUUUUCCAGACAACAUUCGACAGCAUCACCUACAUUGUGCUCAGUCACUAAGUCAUGUCUGACUCUUUAUGAC
ensembl:lncRNA